UACGUAGGUGGCGAGCGUUGUUCGGAAUUACUGGGCGUAAAGGGCGCGUAGGCGGCCUUCUAAGUCGAACGUGAAAUCCCCGGGCUCAACCCGGGAACUGCGUCCGAUACUGGAAGGCUUGAAUCCGGGAGAGGGAUGCGGAAUUCCAGGUGUAGCGGUGAAAUGCGUAGAUAUCGAGAGGAACACCUGCGGCGAAGGCGGGUUGCUGGGCCGACACUGACGCUGAAGCGCGAAAGCCAGGGGAGCGAACGGG
rnacentral:rRNA from 1 species